rnacentral:rRNA from 1 species
GACGAACGCUGGCGGCGUGCUUAACACAUGCAAGUCGAACGGAAAGGCCCCUUUGGGGGUACUCGAGUGGCGAACGGGGGAGUAACACGUGAGUAACCUGCCCUUGACUUCGGGAUAACUUCAGGAAACUGGGGCUAAUACCGGAUAGGAAUCCUUGCUGCAUGGUGGGGGUUGGAAAGCUUCGGCGGUUUUGGAUGGACUUGCGGCUUAUCAGCUUGUUGGUGGGGUAGUGGCUUACCAAGGCUUUGACGGGUAGCCGGCCUGAGAGGGCGACCGGCCACAUUGGGACUGAGAUACGGCCCAGACUCCUACGGGAGGCAGCAGUGGGGAAUAUUGCACAAUGGGCGGAAGCCUGAUGCAGCAACGCCGCGUGCGGGAUGACGGCCUUCGGGUUGUAAACCGCUUUCAGCAGGGGCGAAGCUUGUGGUGACGGUACCUGCAGAAGAAGCACCGGCUAACUACGUG